GCGUGGGGAAGGCCUGGUCUCAGUUAUGAGUGUGCAUAGUGGCCACUGAACUUCUCCAGCCCAAUCCCAAGCCUCUGAGUCACACCCAUGCCUUUUCUCUUUCAGACUUGGUCCCCUGCAAAACCUUAUAGACAGUCUCACAGACAUCUUGACUAGAGUCAUCCCUGGCCUGGUGCAGGGUGUGGUAAGACACUAAAGCGACCGACAGUUCCCCAUUACAUGGGUCUUAGAGUUCUUAGGCUGAGUUACUCUGUAUGAAAACUGUCCACCCAUCAGUCCAUCUGUCCUGUGAUCCAGAUGUCUGUCUUCAUUCUUUCUACUCCUCUAAACACAUUGGUUGGCUUCUUAUGGGCUGAAGAAAGUACUCCUGAAUAUAUUCCACCAUGAGCAUGCUGCUUCUCCUAGGGUCUCCUUGCAGGAAGUCCUAUGCCUAACUACCUUCUCUACCCUGGGUCAGGUGUGUCCUCUGGUCAAUGGGGUUCUCAGCCUCUUGGAUGUCAGCCUAGCACAUGAUGUUGCUGAUGUGCUGCUGCGUGGAGUACAAUUUGUCAUUAAGGCCUAAGCCUUCCAAGAAAGGACCUGUCUCUGCUGCGAUG
rnacentral:lncRNA from 1 species